ACGAGCCCGAGAUUGUAGAAGUAGCAAUACGGACACAAUCUUAGCGGCGGAUUGGUGAGUAACACGUGAGUAACCUGCCUUAUACUGGGGAAUAACACCGUGAAAACGGUGCUAAUACCGCAUAAUGUUAUCUUAUGGCAUCAUAGGAUAACCAAAGGAGCAAUCCGGUAGAAGAUGGACUCGCGUCCGAUUAGCUAGUUGGUGAGGUAAUGGCCCACCAAGGCGACGAUCGGUAGCCGAACUGAGAGGUUGAUCGGCCACAUUGGGACUGAGACACGGCCCAGACUCCUACGGGAGGCAGCAGUGGGGAAUAUUGGGCAAUGGGCGAAAGCCUGACCCAGCAACGCCGCGUGAAGGAAGAAGGCCUUCGGGUUGUAAACUUCUUUGAUCAGGGAAGAAAAAAAUGACGGUACCUGAAAAACAAGCCACGGCUAACUACGUGCCAGCAGCCGCGGUAAUACGUAGGUGGCAAGCGUUAUCCGGAUUUACUGGGUGUAAAG
rnacentral:rRNA from 1 species